rnacentral:tRNA from 1 species
GCAUCCAUAGCCUAGCGGUUAAGGCAGUCGACUCAUAAUCGGAAUAUCGCUGGUUCGAAUCCAGCUGGAUGCA